CCUGGUAACUCAGAUUGGUAAAGAAUCUGCUUGCAAUGCAGAAGACUCAGGUUCAAUCCCUGUAUUGGGA
rnacentral:tRNA from 1 species